rnacentral:rRNA from 1 species
AACGCGAAGAACCUUACCCAGACUUGACAUGCAGUGGACGAUAGCAGAAAUGUUAUUUCCCUUCGGGGCCGCUGCACAGGUGCUGCAUGGCUGUCGUCAGCUCGUGCCGUGAGGUGUUGGGUUAAGUCCCGCAACGAGCGCAACCCUUAUUGUUAGUUGCCAACACGUAAUGGUGGGAACUCUAGCAAGACUGCCUGGGUUAACCAGGAGGAAGGUGAGGAUGACGUCAAGUCCGCAUGGCCCUUAUGUCUGGGGCUACACACGUGCUACAAUGGCCGGUACAGAAGGAAGCUAAUCCGCGAGGUAGAGCAAAUCCGUAAAGCCGGCCCCAGUUCAGAUUGUAGUCUGCAACUCGACUACAUGAAGAUGGAAUUGCUAGUAAUGGCGAGUCAGCAACAUCGCCGUGAAUACGUUCCCGGGCCUUGUACACACCGCACUACUA